UGUGCUUGUUUGGUACCAGAAGGGCAGGUUUGAGUAUUUCGGCUACUGCUGUUCUCCAGGGAUUUUCACACACAGUCUCUAGAAUUUAUACAGACUGAUGCGAAAAACAAACAAACAAAAAACAGCAACAGAUCUCUGGGUGGAAAUGCCUUGUUGAUAAGAGACAUCAGAGGAAAAUGGCUAGGUUGUUUCGAGCUAGGAUCUAGAAACUCAUAUAAUCACUUUUUACAGCAGUGGUGAGCCGAAAAGCAUCGCAACAUUAGCUGGAGCUCUUGACCUAUAUGUGGGUCCUUCUCAAAAUAGUGUGAUUUUCUGACACUACAAAUUACUCAAUUCACGUUUUACCCAUAAAAGUUCAUGGUAAGAUUUUAUUAACAUCUUGACAUUAUUUUUAAUCAUAUGGGGCAAAUUGAUUUUUGUUCUUUAUUUUAUUAUUUUAAUUUUUUAUAACAAAUAUGUCAUUUGUUACCCAUACCAGUUCGCAUACAGAGCAAAUAGAUCGACAGAAGACGCUAUUGUCACCGCUCUCCACAUAGCACUGACCCAUCUGGAACAUUAGGGGAGCUAUGCAAGGCUGCUCUUCCUCGACUUUAGCUCUGCAUUUAAUUCAAUCAUUACAAGCACACUGGUUAACAAAUUAUUGGACUUAGGACUGCCACACUCCAUCUGCUCCUGAAUUAGUGACUUCCUGUCAAAUCUCACACAGAGAGUCAGAGUAGGCCUCUCCACAGCUCUUAGACUCAGUACUGGCUCUGCUCAGGGCUGUGUGCUGAGCCCCCUCUUUAUACUCUCUAUUCCUAUGACUGUGCAGCCACACAUCCCAGUAAUGCUAUUAUUAAGUUUGCUGAUGAUACAACUGUGGUGGGUCUCAUCUCUGGAGGAGAUGAGACUGCAUACAGAGAUGAGGUCCAGAGGCUAGCGGCAUGGUGCUGAACACUUCAAAAACUAAAGAACUUAUCAUUGAUUACAGGAAGAAAAAAGCUGAUCCACACCCCCUAUACAUAAAUGGAGUCUGCGUGGAGAGGGUUUCGAACUUCAGGCUCCUGGGUGUGCAUGUGGAUGAUGACCUUUCCUGGAACACUAACACCACGGCACUGGUAAAGAGGGCACAGCAGCGUCUCCAUUUUCUGAGGUUACUGAAGAAGAACAACUUGGAUGACAGAUUCCUGGUGACGUUCUAACAGUGCUCUAUUGAAAGUGUACUGAGCUACUGCAUUAUUGCUUGGUUCUUCAGCUGCUGAGCAACUCAGAAGAAAGCACUCCAAAGGGUCAUCUCCACUGCGGAAAAACUAACUGGCCACUCUCUCCCCUCCCUUGAGGAUAUUUACAGAUCACGCUGUCUCAAAAGAGCUUGCAGCAUCCUCAAGGACAUCACACAUCCUGGUCAUCACUUUUUUGAACUGUUGCCCUCUGGAAGGCGAUUCAGGACAAUAAAAUCCAGAACCAACAGACAAAACAGUUUUUAUGCAAGAGCCAUCAUGGCAAUAAACAUGAACACUUGAACUUGAACGGCAAUAACUGUGCAUUAAUAUGGAUGUGUAUUUUGGAUGUGGAUGUGUAUUAUCUGAGUAUUUUAAGUGUGGGUGUAUUUUUAUCUUAGUUUUAUAGUGUUUUAGCUUGGUUGCAUUUUAUUUUUAUUUAUUUAUUUAUUUAUUUAUUUUUAACAGUAUUUUUAAGCUAUUUGCACUGGCUAAGGAUAGCCAUCCAAUUUCAUUGUACUGUACAUGUGCAUUACAAUGACAAUAAAGGUCUAUCUAUCUAUCUGUCUAUCUAUCUAUGUUUUUUGUCAUUGGCGUUACAUCACUUGAUCAUUAUUUGCUCAAAACAUAAUCUAAUAAAUCCAAUGGCGCAGACCACAUAAUCUAGGAAUUAUUGAGUCCAGGUCAGGUCCUCAGAGAUGUGUACUCCAUGGUACCUGAAGCUGCUCACUCUCUCCACGGGGGUUCUGCCAAUCUUGAGUGGGGUGUAGUUUUGCUGCUGCCUCUUCUUGAAGUCUACAACCAGCUCCUCGUUUUUGCUGACAUUCAGAGAGCGAUAGUUAGCCUGGCACCAAGCUACUAGUUUCCCCACCUCAUCAAGGUAGGUGGCCUCAUUGUUGUUGAUGAGGCCCAUAACCACUAUGUCAUUAGCAAACUUGAUGAUAGAGGUGGAGCUGUGAGAGGACAAAUCACAAGAGAAGAGAAAAUCACCCCAUAAACCCAUGACCUGAGCACAAACCACAUAGAGAUGACAAAGCCACAAUCUAAACAAUGAAAGACCUGUUGAUCAGUAUGACGGAAGUGAGUCGGGUGAAUCUUCUGAAUAUGGAGACAGAUAAUUGUAUUUACAUUACCAGAAUGCUAUUGAAGAAUUGUCCAGUCAUGUUUCUGAGGACCAGCCUGAUAACCACUACUUUACAGUAGUUAUAAGUCUACUUACUACCUGUAUUUUUAAAACCUAUACUUUAAUCUGAAUUUUAAAUAUCAUAAGUAAUGUUUUUUAUGAGUUGGUUACUUUUAUUUUGAUGUGGGUUAGAAAUGCCUGAUGUUGCAUUUCCUCAUUGUUUUGUUAUGACGGGACACAUUACAUGUGACAGUGCAGGGCAGUCCCAAGUCAAAAUGAAACUACAGUGACUGGACAAGCACCAGCGUCACUGUAGCUUAAAGGAGCAACAGAUUUUUUCUAAUGAACAAUAACAUGAAGUAUAUGUAAACUACUACUACUACUACUAAUAAUAAUAAUAAUAAUAAUAAUAAUAAUAAUGGUUUAAGCCAUGGCAUAAGCACGAGUGUAUUAUGUGGCUGGAAAAAAAAAAGAAAGAAAGAAAAAACAUUUAUAAAAAUGCAAAUACACUUCAAUCCAGAAGUAUAAUUGUUUGGCUGGACCUUGUGUCAGUCAUUUUAUAGACUCUCCCCAAUGUCCCUUCACUCCGUCCCCCUACAGCUUGCUGGCAGUGUCUUUCCAAUAUGGAGUAUUUUUUAUUACCAAUGAAGGAAUGAAGCUGGACAUAGGGAAUUAGCAAUGUUGCUCCUGGACAGGUCCUGUGGCAGAACUUUGUGGACAAGGGCGGGAGUUGGGACGGGUUUAAGGGGGAAAAAAAUCAAAUGUUGGACCCACCCAAAUCGCCAACAACAACAAAGUUUUCAGAUGUGCAGGACUCUGCUCGGAGUCGUUAUCACACAGCGAGUUCGGCACAGAGCUGGCAGGAAGUCACACUCUGACCCAGUGACACACAGCAUCAGUUUGAAGCUGGUGAUCGACUUCAGCCCGACUCGUGUAUGUCUUCCUGUGUUCCACGGCACUGAAUGGAAUCGUCUGCGCGAGACACACACCUGCACUUUGUUACUUCAUAUCUGAACUUAUUAUAAAGUUGCUAAAGCAUGCAGCACUACGACACAGAAUUAAUCACUGUUCUAAAGUAUUGUGCCCAGAAGCCUUAUUAUAAAAAUGAAAUGACCUUCAAGGCAACACAUAACGAUAUUUAUAAUAUCGUUAAUACCUUCAGUUCUAAAUGAAAAAUGUUUUCUUCGGUAUGGGAUGACUGUAUGCCUGACCUAAUGGGUAAAUUGUUAAACACGUGACCUAUAAAUGAGAUGAAAAAUAGCAUCUCUGUUUCUUUCACCAACCAUAAUCAGCUCAAUAUGUUUCUUUGGUCAUACAUACAAAACAUAUAGAUAAAACAGUGUUAUUGGAUAUUUCAGGUUGUAAUUGGCAGAGAUGUUCUGGCAAAGUAAUCUGAGUAUAUGCAAGGAUCAAACCAUAGACUGACAGUUACAGCUAGAGCACAAUAGAUAGAGUACCUUUUAUUCUAUUAUGUUUAAGGGGGUUUGACUACAAAUUAUUAUUUUUUUCUUUUUACUUUCUGAUAAAUAGCAAGACACCAUGAGUCAAUCACUUGCACACUUUCAGCACAAUACAAUUGAAAAAGAUUUUACCUCUGUGUGGUAGUAUUGAAUGAGCCAAAUACACGGAGGCAUCAUGAUAAAAUAACAGAAAAUCAUUACAGUUGCAAAAGAAAAGGAACCUUGUCAAACAUAUGUUCAUAAUAAAUUGCAAAAAGCAAUAUGUUUCUAUGCUAUACACCAAAACUGAGGGUGAGUGAUUUGAGAGUCUCCUUAUAUCUCAAUGAGAUGUUUGAGCAAGUGCUCUGAAUUAAACUAAAUAUGUGAAA